UUUAUUUGCUUGAAUUCAUGGUUAAUUGAGCAAUAUCCAGAUUAGGUGGAUUAAUUCUUGAGUGUUUGUUUGUUUGUUUGUUUCAUUGUUUGUGAUUACUCUCACUACUAUAAACAGGUUGGUCUAACAAUUUUAUGUCAGAGCACUGAUGUUUAAGAAAAAUGACAUUUCGUUUAUGAUUUUGUGGUUUAUCUCGUACACAUAUGUUAGCUUUUCGAGGUUUGACUUUUAUUCUGAAAUCUUGUUGUAGGUUUUGUUUUGCUGCCGAAGUUGCAGUAGAAGAGUGUUAGGGUGUAUAAAUGUACUUAGUUUUGAAAAUAGGACAACAACAAGGCAGUAGUAUUGGCAGCAAUAGCUGUAAUAGUGGGUUGUUUUCUAGCUAAGACUCUCAUGGAAUAUCUCUGAAGAAAAGCCUUGAUGUUACCCCUUUGAAAUCUCAAGCGAUGCAUUUCCGUCCCCUGUGCAAUCAUGAGUUAGAUGUCAGAGAUGUUUGGGUUCCAUAAGCUUGUCAAAAACUUGAAUGAUUUGUUUAAUCUCUGUGGCUGCAUAAUAAUUUUGGGAUAUACUCAUUUUGGACUUAGAAAUAACCACAAAUAGAUGAUGCGGGAAAUGAAGUUAAGAGUUUAAUAGCCAAGCUCUUUGAGCAAGAAAAUAUUGUCGUUGCUUGAAGCAGAAGAUGCAGACAUUAGAAUUCAAGUUGUAACAAUUGUUGCAAAUUUGGCUGCAAAACGUGAAGGACUCUAGUUGUUAAUUGAAUCUGCUACAAAGUAUUUGAAUAUUUCCACCUAUAUUGUUAGAAAAUUUCGUGAUUUGAGUCAUUUGUCUCACCAUGAUCUUGCAGAAACAAAUCAGGGGAAGAUUGUAGAGGCAGGUGGCCGGGAUUACGUCCUUGUGUUGAAUCUUCUUAGAAGCUCUGAGAAUGAGACCAUACAUCGAGUUGUUGCUGGCGUUAUUGCGAAUUAAGCAAUGAAUGAAAGUAACUGAAGUCAUCAGCUACAAUUUUCAUGUCAUUCAGGGAUUUGGAGUUUGUUUUCUGCUUGUAGUUUUCCAGGUUCCUGCACAUUAUGUUGCAAUGGUUCCU